rnacentral:rRNA from 1 species
UCAUUACCGAGCUAGGGUCUCUGGGCCCGAACCUCCAACCUAUGUUUACCCUUCCUCUGUUGCUUUGGCGGGCCGUGGCCCCGCCACCGCCGGCGUUGCCGGUGAGCCCGCCAGAGGCUGUCAAAACUCAACCAUCAGGGCUGUCUGAGAACUACACAAUAAUCAAAACUUUCAACAACGGAUCUCUUGGUUCUGGCAUCGAUGAAGAACGCAGCGAAAUGCGAUAAGUAAUGUGGAUUGCAGAAUUCAGUGGAUCAUCGAAUCUUUGAACGCACAUUGCGCCCCCUUGGUAUUCCGGGGGGCAUGCCUGUUCGAGCGUCAUUUCAAUCCUCAAGCUCUGCUUGGUGUUGGGCUUCGCCCCCGGGGCGUGCCUGGAACCAGCGGCGGGUCACGCCUGGGCUUCAAGCGCAGUAAAACUCUUGCUUGAAGCCUGGUCCGGAGACCAGCCUCAACGAAAACCCAUCACGUUUGACCUCGGAUCAGGUAGGGAUACCCGCUGAACUUUAAGCAUAUCAAUAAGCGGAGGAAAAGAAACCAACAGGGAUUGCCUCAGUAACGGCGAGUGAAGCGGCAACAGCUCAAAUUUGAAAUCUGGCCUGUCUAGGGUCCGAGUUGUAAUUUGUAGAGGAAGCUUCGGGUGCGGCCCGGUCUAAGUUCCUUGGAACAGGACGUCACAGAGGGUGAGAAUCCCGUAUGUGACCGGAAGCCAACCUCAUGUGAAGCUCCUUCGACGAGUCGAGUUGUUUGGGAAUGCAGCUCUAAAUGGGUGGUAUAUUUCAUCUAAAGCUAAAUACUGGCCAGAGACCGAUAGCGCACAGGUAGAGUGAUCGAAAGAUGAAAAGCACUUUGGAAAGAGAGUUAAACAGUACGUGAAAUUGUUGAAAGGGAAGCGCUUGCAACCAGACUUGCCCGCGGCCGAUCAGCCGGUGUUCUCACCGGUGCACUCGGUCGCGGUCAGGCCAGCAUUGGUUUGGGCGGUGGGACAAAGGCCGCGGGAAUGUGGCUCCCCCGGGAGUGUUAUAGCCCGUGGCGCAAUGCCACCUGCCUGGACCGAGGACCGCGCUUCGGCUAGGAUGCUGGCGUAAUGGUUGUAAGCGACC